rnacentral:tRNA from 1 species
AGGCGUGUAGCUCAGCAGGUAGAGCAGCUGUCUGUUAAACAGCCCGUCGAAGGUUCAAGUCCUUCCACGCCUG